rnacentral:rRNA from 1 species
UUUAUCAAAAACAUGUCUCUUUGAGAUCUUUUAAUAAAGAGUUGGGCCUGCUCGGUGAUUAAUAUUUAACAGCUGCGGUAUUAUAACUGUACUAAGGUAGCAUAAUAAUUUGCUCUAUAAAUUGGGGCUAGAAUGAAUGGUUUGACGAAAAUUUGACUGUCUCUAUCUUAUUUAUUAGAAAUUAAUUUUUAUGGUGAGAAAGCUUAAAUUAUUUAAAGGGACGAAAAGACCCUAUUGAGCUUAUAUUAUUUAAUAAGUUAUAUAAUUGUUGUUUAUUUGAAUUAAUUUUGAUUGGGGUGAUCAAGGAAUAAAUUGUUUAGAUUAACUUCCUUAAUUAAUUUGUUUUAUGUAAAAAUAAACCAAAUUUUUUGCUUAGAAGAUAAGUUACCAUAGGGAUAACAGCGUAAUUUUUUUUGAGAGUUCAUAUUGAAAAAAGAGAUUGCGACCUCGAUGUUGGAUUAAAAUUAACCUUAAGGUGGAGAGG